rnacentral:rRNA from 1 species
AGCGGCGGAUGGGUGAGUAACACGUGGGGAACCUGCCCCUAAGUCUGGGAUACCAUUUGGAAACAGGUGCUAAUACCGGAUAAUAAAGCAGAUCGCAUGAUCAGCUUUUGAAAGGCGGCGUAAGCUGUCGCUAAGGGAUGGCCCCGCGGUGCAUUAGCUAGUUGGUAAGGUAACGGCUUACCAAGGCGACGAUGCAUAGCCGAGUUGAGAGACUGAUCGGCCACAUUGGGACUGAGACACGGCCCAAACUCCUACGGGAGGCAGCAGUAGGGAAUCUUCCACAAUGGACGCAAGUCUGAUGGAGCAACGCCGCGUGAGUGAAGAAGGUUUUCGGAUCGUAAAGCUCUGUUGUUGGUGAAGAAGGAUAGAGGUAGUAACUGCCCUUUAUUUGACGGUAAUCAACCAGAAAGUCACGGCUAACUACGUGCCAGCAGCCGCGGUAAUACGUAGGUGGCAAGCGUUGUCCGGAUUUAUUGGGCGUAAAGCGAGCGCAGGCGGAAAAAUAAGUCUAAUGUGAAAGCCCUCGGCUUAACCGAGGAACUGCAUCGGAAACUGUUUUUCUUGAGUGCAGAAGAGGAGAGUGGAACUCCAUGUGUAGCGGUGGAAUGCGUAGAUAUAUGGAAGAACACCAGUGGCGAAAGCGGCUCUCUGGUCUGCAACUGACGCCGAGGCUCGAAAGCAUGGGUAGCGAACAGGAUUAGAUACCCUGGUAGUCCAUGCCGUA